rnacentral:rRNA from 1 species
UACGUAGGGUGCGAGCGUUGUCCGGAAUUAUUGGGCGUAAAGAGCUCGUAGGCGGUGUGUCGCGUCGGCCGUGAAAACCUGGGGCUCAACUCUGGGCGUGCGGUCGAUACGGGCAUCACUUGAGUUCGGCAGAGGAGACUGGAAUUCCUGGUGUAGCGGUGAAAUGCGCAGAUAUCAGGAGGAACACCGGUGGCGAAGGCGGGUCUCUGGGCCGAUACUGACGCUGAGGAGCGAAAGCAUGGGUAGCGAACAGG